rnacentral:rRNA from 1 species
UCGCUUCGGCGACAGGAAGACAGGUGGUGCAUGGUUGUCGUCAGCUCGUGUCGUGAGAUGUUGGGUUAAGUCCCGCAACGAGCGCAACCCUUAUUGUUAGUUGCUACCAUUUAGUUGAGCACUCUAGCGAGACUGCCGUGGUUAACGCGGAGGAAGGUGGGGAUGACGUCAAAUCAUCAUGCCCCCUAUGUCUAGGGCUACACACGUGCUACAAUGGCUGGUACAAAGAGAUGCAAUACCGCGAGGUGGAGCUAAACUAUAAAACCAGUCUCAGUUCGGAUUGUAGGCUGAAACUCGCCUACAUGAAGCUGGAGUUGCUAGUAAUCGCGAAUCAGAAUGUCGCGGUGAAUACGUUCCCGGGCCUU